rnacentral:rRNA from 1 species
CCUACGGGAGGCAGCAGUGAGGAAUAUUGGUCAAUGGGCGCGAGCCUGAACCAGCCAAGUAGCGUGAAGGAUGACUGCCCUACGGGUUGUAAACUUCUUUUAUAAAGGAAUAAAGUGAGGCAAGUGUGCCUUUUUGUAUGUACUUUAUGAAUAAGGAUCGGCUAACUCCGUGCCAGCAGCCGUGGUAAUACGGAGGAGCCGAAGGUUAUCCGGAUUUAGUGGGUUUAAAGGGAGCGUAGAUGGGUUGUUAAGUCAGUUGUGAAAGUUUGCGGCUCAACCGUAAAAUUGCAAUUGAUACUGGCAGUCUUGAGUACAGUUGAGGUAGGCGGAAUUCGUGGUGUAGCGGUGAAAUGCUUAGAUAUCACGAAGAACUCCGAUUGCGAAGGCAGCUUACUAAACUGCCACUGACAUUGAUGCUCGAAAGUGUGGGUAUCAAACAGGAUUAGCUACCCGUGUAGUC